UCAAAGGCUGAAGAGUGUCCCCGCUGUUAGCAUCACGAAACAGUGAAAACUGUUGCUCCUGUACUACAUCCCAUUAAAGUUCAGGAAGCUUGGAGUGUCCUUGGGAUGGAUUUGAUUGGUCCCCUUCCUACCACCGCAAAGGGCAAAAGGUUCAUUCUAACUGCCACAGACCUGUUUACAAAGUGGGUGGUUGCAAAAAUCCCUCUACACCAAAACUGCCACAGAGGUGUCCAGACAAAUUGUCAACAUCAUGUAUUACUUUGGACUUGUGGAGAUGAUCAUCACUGAUCAAGGGCGGGAAUUUGUGAAUGAUGUAUAGCUACCUAUAUAAAAACAUUGCAUUAGCAGCAUUGAAUAUUUGGAAUGAAUUGUACUUAAUCUGUCUACAGGUCAACCGUGGUGUUUUUGAGGCUUUGGGAGUGAAACACUGCAUAACAUCAGCCUACCAUCCCCAGGCCAACGGACAGGAUGAGCGCACCAAUCGCAACAUAAAAACAGCGCUUGCGAAAUACUGUUGGGAGGACAAAAACGACUGGGACAUCUAUUUAAGGGGAAUAGUGGCAGGCAUAAACACAUCUAAGCAGGUAACAUUGUGUAAAAAUGUGUGAAAGAACCAUGUUCACUCAGACAAAAAA